rnacentral:rRNA from 1 species
AGACCCGAAACCCGGUGAUCUAGCCAUGGGCAGGUUGAAGGUUGGGUAACACUAACUGGAGGACCGAACCGACUAAUGUUGAAAAAUUAGCGGAUGACCUGUGGCUGGGGGUGAAAGGCCAAUCAAACCGGGAGAUAGCUGGUUCUCCCCGAAAGCUAUUUAGGUAGCGCCUCGUGAAUUCAUCUCCGGGGGUAGAGCACUGUUUCGGCUAGGGGGCCAUCCCGGCUUACCAACCCGAUGCAAACUGCGAAUACCGGAGAAUGUUAUCACGGGAGACACACGGCGGGUGCUAACGUCCGUCGUGAAGAGGGAAACAACCCAGACCGCCAGCUAAGGUCCCAAAGUCAUGGUUAAGUGGGAAACGAUGUGGGAAGGCCCAGACAGCCAGGAUGUUGGCUUAGAAGCAGCCAUCAUUUAAAGAAAGCGUAAUAGCUCACUGGUCGAGUCGGCCUGCGCGGAAGAUGUAACGGGGCUAAACCAUGCACCGAAGCUGCGGCAGCGACGCUUAUGCGUUGUUGGGUAGGGGAGCGUUCUGUAAGCCUGCGAAGGUGGCCUGUGAGGGUUGCUGGAGGUAUCAGAAGUGCGAAUGCUGACAUAAGUAACGAUAAAGCGGGUGAAAAGCCCGCUCGCCGGAAGACCAAGGGUUCCUGUCCAACGUUAAUCGGGGCAGGGUGAGUCGACCCCUAAGGCGAGGCCGAAAGGCGUAGUCGAUGGGAAACGGGUUAAUAUUCCCGUACUUGGUGUUACUGCGAAGGGGGGACGGAGAAGGCUAUGUUGGCCGGGCGACGGUUGUCCCGGUUUAAGCGUGUAGGUGUGUGUUCCAGGUAAAUCCGGUUCACUUUAACACUGAGGCGUGACGACGAGGCACUACGGUGCUGAAGCAACAAAUGCCCUGCUUCCAGGAAAAGCCUCUAAGCAUCAGGUAACAUCAAAUCGUACCCCAAACCGACACAGGUGGUCAGGUAGAGAAUACCAAGGCGCUUGAGAGAACUCGGGUGAAGGAACUAGGCAAAAUGGUGCCGUAACUUCGGGAGAAGGCACGCUGACACGUAGGUGAAGUGAUUUACUCACGGAGCUGAAGUCAGUCGAAGAUACCAGCUGGCUGCAACU